rnacentral:rRNA from 1 species
UACGAAGGGGGCUAGCGUUGCUCGGAAUCACUGGGCGUAAAGCGCACGUAGGCGGCUUUCUAAGUCAGGGGUGAAAUCCUGGAGCUCAACUCCAGAACUGCCUUUGAUACUGGAAAGCUUGAGUUCGGGAGAGGUGAGUGGAACUGCGAGUGUAGAGGUGAAAUUCGUAGAUAUUCGGAGGAACACCAGUGGCGAAGGCGACUCGCUGGACUGAUACUGACGCUGAGGUGCGAAAGCGUGGGGAGCAAACAGG